GGAAUCCACGGUAUUUGGAUUUCUGCCGUAGAAACGUGUCAGCUGAUUGCUCCUCACAACGCAGGGUUGCCAAUCUCAAUAUACUGUAGUAAUUAUAAAAGUUGUCUUCAAUAUGUUUGAAAUUUUGUUAAAAUAAAUCAAAAUCAGAGUCGAAUGCUAUUAUUUAUAAAUAUAUAAACUAUUCUUAAUAGUUUGUUUUCAGUUUUGAUAUUUUAUAUUAUAAAAAAUUGUAAUUGAAAACAUAGAUGUGUACAAAACUCUAUAUGCGUAUUGAGCAAUGGCAACAUUGUUCAAAUGAAAACAAACAAAGACGGCUGAUUAUUGCGUUUUACCACAUUGUGUCAGCAGCAAUAUGGAAGUAGACAAUAUUGAAUAUGAAAUGUUUUUAGAGUUGUGCGAAUUGUACUCUUUAUAUGCUUUAUAUAAAAAGUAUAAAAGCCGAAAAGGAAAGAGAAGAUAUAAAAUGCGCCCAAUCAAUAAAAACUAGGGCUUUUGUGAUUACAAGUUAAAACUUUUCUAGUAAUAAAAAACAGCGAACCAGAACAACAUUUUUUGCAUACAAGGAUGCCUGCGGACGUCUAUAAUUUGCUCCUGAAUUUAGUAUGGAAAUCCUUGAAAAAGACAAGUAUUCCAUUCGGCCAUGCAUUAAUACAAAACACUCUGCUUUUGCCAUCACCUGUGCCACUGUCUGACGUGUCACCGGAACCUUUUCCUUACUUUUUCGUUGAAGAUGCUGCAUUCCCAUUACGAAGUCAUUUAAUGCGCCCGUUUCCCGGAGCUAAUCUAACCAACACGAAACGUAUUUUCAAUUAUCGAUUGUCACGCGUAGAGGUCAUUCAAAUGCGUUUAAAUUUCGGGAAAGACUUGCUAACUAUUUUAUAAAUGAAGGAUCUGUACCAUUCCAGAACAAUGUAGACGUUUCACAUUAUUAGAAAUAAUUACCAAUUUUUUUUAAUUCAUGAAUUCAUUUAUUUAAUUUUUUUUCAUAAAAACGAAAACAUAUAUGUAAAUAAAACUAAAAUAAUAAUUUAAAAAUAACUAA